AUCCAGACUCCUACGGGAGGCAGCAGUGGGGAAUAUUGCACAAUGGGGGAAACCCUGAUGCAGCGACGCCGCGUGAAGGAAGAAGUAUUUCGGUAUGUAAACUUCUAUCAGCAGGGAAGAAAAUGACGGUACCUGACUAAGAAGCCCCGGCUAACUACGUGCCAGCAGCCGUGGUAAUACGUAGGGGGCAAGCGUUAUCCGGAUUUACUGGGUGUAAAGGGAGCGUAGGCGGUUUAGCAAGUCAGAAGUGAAAGCCCGGGGCUCAACUCCGGGACUGCUUUUGAAACUGUGUAGCUAGAGUGCAGGAGAGGUAAGUGGAAUUCCUAGUGUAGCGGUGAAAUGCGUAGAUAUUAGGAGGAACACCGGUGGCGAAGGCGGCUUACUGGACUGUAACUGACGUUGAGGCUCGAAAGCGUGGGGAGCAAACAGGAUUAGAUACCCCCGUAAA
rnacentral:rRNA from 1 species